rnacentral:rRNA from 1 species
AUUGGCACAGUAGUUGCGAAUGAACAGCAAAUUGCUCAAAUUGAAUUUGGGGACACCUGGCCCUCAACAUGAAAUCUCUGAAUGCUCCACCAACAAAGGCUCAGGAACAAAACCAUUCUGGAGGGGAUUGUGAAAGUGCCAACAGGGGUGAGAAUCCUGUGGUUCUUGCAGACCUUGUUCACGGUGUCUGCUUUCCAGAGUCAUGCUCCUUGGAACUGGAGUGCAAAGUGGGUGGUAGCUUCCACACAAAGGCAAACACACCACUGAGACUGACAGUGAAGAAGUACCGUGAGGGAAGUAUGAAAAGGACUUUGGAAAGAGAUUUAAAAGAGCCUGCACUUGCUGGACAACAAGCAUACAGAAUGAUCGUGUGAUUGGACAGAUUGCUGUGUGAAUACAGGUAACAAUCCUGUGCUGCAUGCGGAGAUUCUUUCUUGGUGUGCCAACUAGUGUGAGAGCAGUCAGUAUCUGUGGGCAGUGCUUGGGGUGUGUCUUGUGUCACAUGUGAUUGUAUGUACCUGGUCUGAACAUGUGAAACUGCAUCUACUGGCAAUGAAGAGUUAUGCAUGCAGUUGCUUUCACCAACGGUUCACCUUGUCAACGACAUGGGUGCCUUUCUGUGUGACCCGUCUUGAAACACAGACCAAAGAGUCUAGGCAGUAUGCAAGCUUGGGGGUGACAAACUCUGAGCACAAUGAAGCUGGAGUCCCGGAAAUGGCAGGGGUGUUCAACCAAGCAACAGGACAAGGUUUGAGUCUGAGCACACUUGUUAGGACCCGAAAGAUGGUGAACUAUGCCUGAAAAGG